ensembl:lncRNA
AUGGUGCGGAUGCUCUUUCCACCUGGGCCCAAAGGUGAGAUCAGGUGUUGGUUCAAGAUCCAUAAAAAAAACGGGGGAAUUCUAUUCAAAACAUGCACAAGGACCAACACUGACAAUAAACAUUUCCACUAUGCAUUUCUUCUCUCUGUCUACAUUAGAGUCCUCAGUCUGGAUCAGAUUGGAUCUCAUCCCCAAACCACAAAUGUUUGCACGCUGAACAAGGUUUUUUCUUGUUGUUGUGAGGGAGCGCUUCCUCACAUAGAAAACAUAUCGUGCCCGCUUCACAAGCCGUCCCAGCGGCUCGGGGAAGAAAUGGCUGCUCCGCGGGGAAAUGUGGCGAAUGAUAACAUUGUGUGCAGCGUUUGGAUUGCGUGAGAGGGUCUAAAAUGGUGCUUCAUUGUGGCCAGGUACCCUUGAGAAACCCUCCUUUUAUAGAACUCCCCCGAAAGGGAGUGGGAAAUGCAGUGAGGAGACAGCGUGUUAAAGGCCCCGCUAUGCCAAGCCAUGAUGAUAAUAAGAAUGAUGAUGGGAAAUUCCAGCUGAGGACAAAUUAAACUGAUUUUCCUUUAUUUUCCCAUGGACAAAAACAGACAGUACUUCUUUAUUUUGUACAUAUCUGAGUGGCAGCCAAUACCAGAUACUCCAAUGACGCACUUAGAGGGGCCGGUUCGCCGCAAGAUCAAAAACACAUAUUUUUUCCUCUCGUCUGUAUCUCAAAAUAAUGCACAAACCCUUCAGUGAGCAUCUCCACGCAGGAACCUUCUUUUCUUUCGACAGAACAACACUUUGUUACAGCACAAAAGGAAACUAGCUAGCUGCUUAGCUCAACGGUACAGUUCAGUCGAGGAGGACGCCAUUUAUGUCUCCAUGCCGCGCUGUCACCGGCACGAGCCUCUCGUCCAUGUGUAGAUGCGCCUUCCUCCUGCCCGUUACGGCGCAACAUGUAAACAAAAGCGGCGUCCUUCCCGGCUGAGCUGACGUUAGCUAGCUUAGUUGGCAUGUUUCCUUCUGUGCGGUAAUACAGCUCAGUUGAGUAGGAAGAAAAAAAAAAUUCUCACAGGAAACCGCUCACAAUGAGGUUGCCAGAUUAUUUCGUUUAUUUAUUUUAGUAACUGGGUCAUGACUGCUGGAAAAGAGACAUCGCCUGUUGAGCGUUUCAGAUGUACUUUUUUUUGUUUUGUGCCUGGAGACGAGUGCCAUCCAGUUUCAUUAUAUUUGAGAUAAGGCCGACAUCUCCACAGCUCAUUUCUCAAGAUUUGGCAACUCCCACCAAAACAAUCUAGAUGGAUAAAUAGCUCAAUGGCUCUAGGUAGAAUGAAGGUAAGAUGAAGAAUAUUCAUAUCUGAUUUUGAGGUGAACUGUCCUCUGUUUUUUAUUUUUGCGGGAGGUAAAAAAAGGAAAAUCAGGUCCAAAUCAAUCUGAAUGAAAUAACAGCACUACAGGUGAGAAGGAUCUUUGGGUGAACUGUCUCUUUAAGACGGAGUGGAGGAGGAGUUGUUGCAUGUUUUUUCAUAUUCUCUUCAAUUUACUGUGAAUUACUGUUAUCAGCUGGAACUAUCUGCAGACAAACCAUCCUUUUAUAAAACCCCAGGCACUAAUUUGUUUCCUUGCUUUUUUAAGUGUUCCUGUACUUGGAUCUUGCAGCAAACGAUUCCCCACGCUGUGGUACCACUUUCAUAAUUUAAAAGCACAGAGCCUUUCUUUGUGGCCACAUAGUUAGAAAAUAUUACCAAACGUGCCCUUACAGGUCAUGAUGGAUUUAGUUCUCCUCUUGAGAGGCCAGUGGUUUUCACACCACAUUCUCCCACUGGUCUUAAAGCCAAGCAAGCCUAAUUACCGAGCCUUAUUUAAAGAGCCAGCAGCCGUGUUUUGCUGACUCACGACUGGCUCGACACCAAGGGUAACAGUGAGUUUAAUCCACUGACUUUCGCCUGUUCAUUUCCCAGUUCUCCGCGAGCUGCGAUCAUUGCGUUUAUUAAGACGACGCCGCUUGACCUUGCCUGUAAACAUCCAAAUAAAAGGAUUCAAUUACUGCUCCCUGUUGGCAAGAGGAGGCAAGAGAAUUAAAAUAAAGAGCAGUGCAGUGAGAAGUUACUCCACAGUUGGGUCUAUUGUUCUGGGCUGCUGUCUCGGAGAGGCAGGCACCGCUUGCCUGUAUAAACCUGUGGGCUGUAAUUUGGAGGGCGUUGGCUUGUCAAGGAGUUUAGGAGUGAAUAGCGUAGGUGAGCUGAUAAAAAAAUGAAGCCUUUUGGGGAUUUCCUAUGAAUGGAAGCACCUUGACUGGGUGUGUGCUUAAUCGCCUUUAAUGCUUCUGCAGGACUCUCCUGAAAGGAGUAAAAUCCCGAACAAUAAACAUCCAAUAAUGAAUGCAAACAACCAAAUCCAUUUUUAGACUGUAUGCAACAGGAACUUACCCGAGCUGAGUGAGGACACGCUCCUCCAGACCUAAAUACUUGUGCCUGUCCUCUUCCACCAAGCCCUCUGCCUCUGGACAGGGUCCUCCAGACCUCGCAUGGCUUCUGCGAGUUUAACACUAAUCUCCUGCUCUGCCCGCUUCAGCUGUAUUCGCAGCGCCUCCUGGUUCUGGAGCUGAGCGGAUGCACGCAGUGGGAAUGACACGUAUGAGGACCUGAACUUGCAGACCAACACACACAUACACACACACACACACACUCGAAAUUCAUUAAAAAAGGAGAAAAGAGGUCUUGCCUGCAGCUGUCUCAUCUGAUGCAGUUGCAUCCUGAGGUCAGAAACGUUCUUCCUGAACUGCAGGAGGUUGAUUUUGAGAGGAACUGAGCUUUUGUCCGAUGGGGCUGCAUUGGUCUUGGGAGCCAAAACUGGGGAACCACCUGUAUAUCACGUGGGGGGGGGAAAAAAGAAAAACAAGUUACAGCUUGUUGCAUGAAAAAUGUUACCCAAUAGCACCUAAACAAAUGAGGUUUAUUUUCAUUCAUAUGCACAUGCUGAAACUCGUCUGCAAACAUGUUUUCUCUGGCAACACACCAGUCGGACUUUCAGAUCCUUAUGUUUAGGAGCGAUUUCCUGAACUCUCUGUGGCUUUUUCUCUUUCCAGGCACAAUAAGCACAUACACCAGCACUUAUACUGGCUGCACCUCUGAAAUGCCCGUCAACUGAUCAUGCCAUUUUCAGUCGCCGCGAGGGGCAAGGCAAGAGGUUGAAACCAUGGAAACCAGGGGAGCUAAUAUUUGUGGUCUGAGCAGAUAGUCCCUAAAUAGCCAACAACAAUAAUAAU